ACGGAAGGCAGCAGUGGGGAAUAUUGGGCAAUGGGGGAAACCCUGACCCAGCAACGCCGCGUGAAGGAAGAAGGCCUUCGGGUUGUAAAAUUCUUUUACCAGGGACGAUAAUGACGGUACCUGGAGAAAAAGCAACGGCUAACUACGUGCCAGCAGCCGCGGUAAUACGUAGGUUGCAAGCGUUGUCCGGAUUUACUGGGUGUAAAGGGCGUGUAGGCGGAGCUGCAAGUCAGAUGUGAAAUCCCGGGGCUCAACCCCGGAACUGCAUUUGAAACUGUAGCCCUUGAGUAUCGGAGAGGCAAGCGGAAUUCCUAGUGUAGCGGUGAAAUGCGUAGAUAUUAGGAGGAACACCAGUGGCGAAGGCGGCUUGCUGGACGACAACUGACGCUGAGGCGCGAAAGCGUGGGGAGCAAACAGGAUUAGAUACCCUGGUA
rnacentral:rRNA from 1 species